CCGAGUUAUACAACUCAUCAACCCUGUGAACAUACCUAAAACGUUGCUUCGGCGGGAACAGACGGCCCUGUAACAACGGGCCGCCCCCAGCCAGAGGACCCCUAACUCUGUUUUUAUAAUGUUUUUCUGAGUAAACAAGCAAAUAAAUUA
rnacentral:misc_RNA from 1 species